CCUANGGGAGGCAGCAGUAAGGAAUAUUGCUCAAUGGGAGAAAUCCUGAAGCAGCAACGCCGUGUGAAGGAUGAAUGGCUUUUGCUUGUAAACUUCUGUAGAAGGGGAAAAAACCUCCACUCUGUGGAGAUUGAUGGUACCCUUAGAGUAAGCCCCGGCUAACUACGUGCCAGCAGCCGCGGUAAUACGUAGGGGGCAAGCGUUGUCCGGAUUUACUGGGUGUAAAGGGUGCUCAGGUGGUUUUGUAAGUCAGAGGUGAAAUCUCAGAGCUUAACUCUGGAACUGCCUUUGAUACUACGGAACUUGUGUACGGAAGAGGUUGAUGGAAUUCCUGGUGUAGCAGUGAAAUGCGUAGAUAUCAGGAAGAACACCAGUGGCGAAGGCGGUCAACUGGUCCGGUACAGACACUAAAGCACGAAAGCGUGGGGAGCAAACAGGAUUAGAUACCCCANUANUC
rnacentral:rRNA from 1 species